CCCUACCUCUCCUCUUUCACGACUCAAAAACCCAAAAGAAUCUCUAGAGUUUAAAGUAAAUAAUGCUUGACAAAACGGAAGCAAAGAAACAAGAAAUUAUGGUUGCUUCUUUUUUUAUUGCCUCGACUGCUGCUCUCCGGGUAAAGAAACAGCCUUUGCAGAUGCACAUAAUGACAUAACAAUAGAAACACGUGUUUGUCUGUGCAAUAAAUUUUUCUUUCUGGGUUUUUAGUUAGCUUUAUGGGUUCAUUCUAUUAACGGGUUUUUGUUUUUCUGGGUGUUAAAGGGUCCCGUGAUGUUGUUACAGACUCUUUCGAGCAGAAGUUUGGAUCACCAAACGAAGAUAAUACUGAUGUUGUACAAGAGUGAUCCUGGAUUAGGAUGUCAAACUGCAUAGUCACAUGAGUUGCCGUAAUUGACGUGGGAUUUUUAUUCAAUAGAAGAUAUUUCCUAGAUUUUGAAGGGGUGAUCAAUCUGCAAAUAAGAGCCAGUGGUGUGGUGGAUGUGGAAAGCUAGAGCUGCUUCUGAAGAACCCUAUACAAUGAGAAAGUUGAAAGUAUUAUCUGGGGUAUGUUCUCUGUUAAAUAUAAAAAAAAUAAGAGAGCAGGAGACUAGGAUUUCAUUGAUAUUGUAUAAUGUAAUCACACUAAUCUAAAGUAAUAUGAUUAACUUAAAUACAAAGAGAUUAUAUAUAGAUUAAACUAAAAAGAAAAUUAAAAAUAUUUUUUUUUUAUAAUCAUCGAGAGUAUAGAAAAUUAAAAAUAUUAUUCUACUUUUAAUAAAUAAAACAAAAUAAUUCUAUAUUUUUUAAUAUUCUCGUCAUAAAGAAAGUUUAACUUGUUUGAAUAUGAGCACAAAAAGGAGAAACUUGUUUGAAUAUGCAGCUAGGUGGCUGCUAAUUUAAAUAUCAUCUACGGCAACUGGUAUGAUGAUUUUUUGUAAGUUAUUGUAAUGCUAUUCUUCCAUGUCUGACUUCGAGGUUCAUGAAUGCAACCCCCCUUGUUUUUACCGUGAAAAUGUGAUCCUUGGGGCACCUGAAAACAAUUAGGUAUUGUGCUUGCUAGUCGUAGCGAAUUUAUUAAAGAUUAAGCAAUGUAAAAUGUGAAUCACCCUGAUUAAAAAACACUCUAUAUUGUGGUUGCUAGUCUAGUCACCAUCUAUUGAAAGUCAAUACUCCUCUAACCAGCAGUUUGUGACAUUACAACCAGCCCGAUCACUCCUGGUAACUCUUUUGUUGAACAUUGUACUGACUUUAAAUGCAUUUCUUUGACUUCUGAAUUGAUUUCUUGUAAUGCUUUUAAGUCUAUCUACUUCUUUAUUUUGAUUCUACGAUACAAUUUAUACGGGAAAUUGAAAAGAAAUUGCACUGGACAACGACAGAAUACUACUCUAAGUGUGGCAGCGGUGUGUUUACACGGCCACACCACAAGCUAGAUUUCUUGCAACUUUGGCAGCUAAACAGAAAUUAUCUAUCAAAAACGUCACCACUUACUUGAUCUUGUGCGCUGUUGCCUUGUUUAAUAUUAUUCUUAUCAUAUCCUUUCGAGGUAGGUGUAAGCACUGACUUGUAUAUUCAUCAAGAUAAUAAUUCAAGUUUGAACUUGGAGCUUGCUGGAUAUGACUUUUGUUUAUUUUACAUUUUUUUCUUUCUUUCACGUCAUGUAUAUGCAUUGUUUUUCCUGGAUAUGUACAAGCACCCGUGUAAAACAUAUCAGUAUUUAUUUUCUUCAGGAAAUAUUGGAGUGCACAUUUCA